rnacentral:rRNA from 1 species
AUGCGGCGGAGCUCCGGGGAAGGUGGAGGUCCAGUUCGACGACGUCAGUGUCCACGCCGGCGUGCCUGCACUGCCGGGCGUCCGCGCUGCCAAGGAAAUUCUAGAAUCUGCAUACCUUUGUGGCACACAGAGGACGGGAAUCAAAAUUCUCAACACGGCAAGUGGCACAAUACGAUCAUCAAGGAUGACUCUUGUUGUGGGAGCACCUGGAUCAGGAAAAACAACCUUUUUAAGAGCACUGGCUGGAAAAUUAGACCCCUCUUUGAAGUUCCAAGGGAAAGUAAUGUACAAUGGAGAAUCAAUUUCCUCUACACCUCACUACAUGCGUGCUUAUGUUAG